UUCCCUAAUGGAUGUUCAGCCUUCAAGAAAAUUACUCCCAACAUAGAUGAAGAAGGAGCAAUGAAGGAGGAUGCUGGAAUGAUGGAUGUCCAUAAAAUGAAGAAGUUUUGCUGGAGUUUCUGGAACAUUGUGUGGAUGGCUUAUGGAAAGCAGAGCAUUACGAAGUAAUUUCUGAAAUUUCCAAGUUGAUCAUUCCAAUUUAUGAGAAUCGUCGAGAGUUUGAGUCUUUUUUGAAGAAGAGGAUGGAAAGGAGUAUAUCUAUAAAGAACCAAAGCUCACCGGCCUCUCAGAGAUUUCCCAGAGACUUGUUAAACUUUAUGGUGAAAAAUUUGGUACAGAGAACGUCAAAAUAAUUCAGGAUUCAGACAAGGAAGUUCAUCCAAGCAUGCAGCAUUGCACUGGAACUAAAUGAGUGGUUAAUGAAAGAGGAUCAGAUUGAAUACCAUGAAGGGCUCACAUCAAAUUUCAGAGACAUGGUGAAAGAAUUGUCUGACAUUAUUCAUGAACAGGCAAGUAUUAGAGUGAAUGAAAAUGAAAACAUGAUCUCGGGUCCCUAAAGUGU